AACCCAAGAUCUCCCCCUCACUUUUCCCUCCUCUCCCUCUCCUCUCCUAGUCAUUUCCCCUUCCCCCACCGUAGCCUUCCCUCUUCUCUCGCACUCCUCACUACAGCCAACAGCGUUGCCGCCGCACAUCUAUAGCUCCACCCCACGCUAACCACCUCCCCACCUUCGAUCUCCUCCCCCAUUGACCUCUCUCUCUCUCUCUCGCUCUCUCUCUCCGCAGCACAACCCAGCCCGUAGCCCUCUCUCCCUACUCCCUCAGUUUCUCCUUCACCAAGCAGCCACUGUGCCACCAUGAGUGGCUCUUGAGCUCGCCAUCGAGCCUUGCCUGCCAUCCCUCCCUUGCAGCCUCACCCCUCGCCUUGGAUCCCCCCACAGUCCAUCUCGUAGCUUCUUUUCUCCCCUCGAGCUUCCUCCAACGCCGCGCUCUGCCUCAAAUCAGCCGAGAUCCCAGCAUCGGGACACUAUGGGCCACCUCUUCUCCCUAGAUCUAGUCGUCGAGCCCCAACCACACAGCUCUCCCUCCCUCUCUCCCUCACAAAUCUCAUUAGAUUCAAUGCCUCACCGCCGUGCACAGCUUCCAGCCACGGCUGUCUCCACCCAGGGUCAACCCCGUGACCCAGUCCCAAUGCCACUGUGCCCAACUAACCAAGGCCUUGCCUCCCUCUCUUUUCUCCUUCGGCAUCUAGCACACACGCACAUACCCACCACCGUACAAGUCCAAGCAAGCCAUGGACCACCCCUCUCCACCUCCUGCUGCCACCACGAAGCCCACACCAAACCUUGGCCACCCCAAAUAGCCAUGUCUUAGGGUCACGGCAGUGACCAAGCCCUAACUCAACUCCUUCUUGCACGUGCAUAGCCGCCAUUGUGGGACCAUGCCGAGCAGCAAACAGCGUGAGCUUUCAGCCUCUUGCUAUGGAUUGAAAUUGUUUCUCAGGCCAAAAGGAAAAAGGAGUAAGCCAAACAAAAAGGAAAAUAUUCAGAACUUUGCGAUGAUUAAACUAAUAGCUUGUGUAAUGCACCUUCUGAAAUUGGAUGGAAGUGAGUGCACACUCCUCUGUAUGUCAACUACAACUAACAUUGUCAUGCCUUGCCUGAAAGAAAUCACAUGGUUUCACAAAUUGGAACGUUUCAGAAUGAAUACGUUGAAAAUAUGCCAAAAAAAGAGAGAUCAAACAAAAUAUGUAUAUGCACAUAUAGCUUGAUACAGUCCCAUUACGUGUGUAUUGUAUUUAAAUGGAGUUAAAGCUGAUGUAGUUUGACAUAUUCAUCCAUCUAUUUUAGGGUUCCUGUUGUUUCGAUCUCUAUCUUCUAGUUGUAAAGUUUUUUAUUGGAUGUUAUUGUAAUUUGUUGAACUUUUGGAUUUGUACUUCAGACUUUUAGUAUUCGGAUUUGUAAUUUGUUGGACUUUGGGACUAAUAAUUUAGACUUUUGGACUUAUUUUAUUUCAUAGCAGAAUUUUAUUUUUA